AUCCGAGUUCCUGUACGAACACCGAAGUUAAGCAACGUCGAGCCUGGUUAGUACCUAGAUGGGUGACCGUUUUGCAAUACCAGGUGCUGUAAG